rnacentral:lncRNA from 1 species
CAGACAACAUGAAUUGCAAGCUGCCAAACGGUUGCAAGAAGAGGCUGUCAGUCGGGCAGAUGUUCUUGGCUUGCAGCUCCUAGAAGCUACCAAACAGUUGGAAGACUCCAGCAGACAGGUUAAGGAUCGAGAUGGGGCACUUCAUUCUGCCUGGGAAGAAGUCAGAUCUUUGCAAAGGGUGUUAGAGGAAGCCAUUUCUGAGCAAAGAACCCUUCAGGCUAUGAAUACGGCUUUAAUGAGCUCUUGCCAGACACUUCAGGAAAAAGAUAAAGAGCAGAAAACACUUUUGCGCCUUCAAAAGAUUUGGGGGCCAAGAAGCAGGUCAGGGCACUGGACUUCCCAAGACACCUUCCUUGAGAUACUCAUGCUGGUAUUCUACACCUCUGCUAGAUGCUCUGGCCUUGGAAAUCCUACAGCUGAAUCCAAGAGUGCUCACAAGCAGUGGUCUCACAUGUGUAGCAACCAGAGCACUCUCUACGUUUGA